rnacentral:rRNA from 1 species
UACGUAGGAGGCAAGCGUUGUCCGGAAUUACUGGGCGUAAAGCGCGUGUAGGUGGUGGGACAAGUCUGCUGUGAAAGCGCCUGGCUUAACCGGGCGAGGUCGGCGGAAACUGUCCGACUCGAGGACGGUAGAGGGGGGUGGAAUUCCCGGUGUAGUGGUGAAAUGCGUAGAGAUCGGGAGGAACACCUGUGGCGAAGGCGGUCUGCUGGGGUCGAACUGACGCUGAGGCGCGACAGCGUGGGGGAGCAAACAGG